rnacentral:rRNA from 1 species
ACGGUAGGUACAGAAGAAGCACCGGCCAACUACGUGCCAGCAGCCGCGGUAAUACGUAGGGUGCGAGCGUUGUCCGGAAUUAUUGGGCGUAAAGGGCUCGUAGGCGGUUUGUCGCGUCGGGAGUGAAAACCAUGAGCUUAACUCAUGGCUUGCUUUCGAUACGGGCAGACUAGAGGCAUGCAGGGGAGAACGGAAUUCCUGGUGUAGCGGUGAAAUGCGCAGAUAUCAGGAGGAACACCGGUGGCGAAGGCGGUUCUCUGGGCAUGUCCUGACGCUGAGGAGCGAAAGUGUGGGGAGCGAACAGGAUUAGAUACCCUGGUAGUCCACACCGUAAACGUUGGGCGCUAGGUGUGGGAUCCAUUCCACGGGUUCCGUGCCGCAGCUAACGCAUUAAGCGCCCCGCCUGGGGAGUACGGCCGCAAGGCUAAAACUCAAAGGAAUUGACGGGGGCCCGCACAAGCGGCGGAGCAUGCGGAUUAAUUCGAUGCAACGCGAAGAACCUUACCUGGGUUUGACAUACACCGGAAAGCUGCAGAGAUGUGGCCCCUUUUAGUC